UACGUAGGGUGCAAGCGUUGUCCGGAAUUAUUGGGCGUAAAGAGCUCGUAGGCGGUUUGUCGCGUCUGCUGUGAAAACCCGAGGCUCAACCUCGGGCCUGCAGUGGGUACGGGCAGACUAGAGUGCGGUAGGGGAGACUGGAAUUCCUGGUGUAGCGGUGAAAUGCGCAGAUAUCAGGAGGAACACCGGUGGCGAAGGCGGGUCUCUGGGCCGAUACUGACGCUGAGGAGCGAAAGCGUGGGGAGCGAACAGG
rnacentral:rRNA from 1 species